GUUUUUCGUAAACCGCCUAAGCUACUGAGUCACCCUGCUUGGGGAAAAACAUAACAAUUUCCGGAUAACGAACUUAAGACCAGGAAGUUCAAAAAUCUCAAUGAAAUGCUUUCUUUAUAAUGCACACCAUGGUGUUGCUGAACGCAGUGCAGAGUUUUGUCAAUACCCUUGCCACACUUUUAUGGUAGAGUGCCUACUAGGGGACCACACCACGUAAAAGUUCGCCACCUUCCUUCCAGAGGUUUUAGUGAUGAACCAUUCACAAAUACAUGUACAUUAUGUAUAUAAAAUUGUAAACAGAUGAUCCGAAGAAUCUUCUUGCAUCAUAUUAUUGUAUCUUAUUACGAGAACCUUAUUGUAUGUUAUUAUGAUAAUUUUAUUGUAUCUUUUUAUGAUAAGAAGACGUCUUAAGUUCCCUAAAUGUGUUGCGUGAAAGAUUGAUAAAAUUAGGUUAUUCAAAUAUUUGAUAAAACCAAUUGAAACUUAUGUCUUGAUUCAAACAUUUAUGAAAAUAAGUUUAAAAGACGUGUAUUAACAAGAAUUAGCCAAAAUAAUUUGAGUUUAAAUCAAGCAAUAAGCGAUUUAUAUGAUUUUUAGCGUUAAAAUAGAUGGGUAUCCCCGAAUUUCAGAAGAACUGCUUCCGUGAAACAAAAUAAAUUUAGCAUGAACAUGUUCCUCGAGUUUUCCACUAAAAAACUGUCGCUUUGAAAUUUUGUUUUCAAAUUCACCUGUAGGUUAAUCUUCCAUAGGAAGUUAUGAUCUACUGCGGGAUUCAGUGGAUAAGCUUGGAGAAUUUAAUAUGUGAAGAAGGUGUCUUUUUAACGACGGGGUUCGAAUCCCUCAUGGACACAAGAUUUUUUUUUUUCAUAUUACGUUUUCCAUCUACAUUUUUUGCUUAAUUGAAACACACUUCAAGUCUUUGUGAAUGUUUCCUGUCAUUUCUCUGUUUGUUACAAUGUGCCGAGAUUGAAAUAAACUUCCAACCUGGA